rnacentral:tRNA from 1 species
GCGCCUGUAGCUCAGUGGAUAGAGCACCGCUCUCCUAAAGCGGGUGUCGGCAGUUCGAGUCUGCCCAGGCGCACCA